rnacentral:lncRNA from 1 species
UCACUUGAAUUAAAGAAGGUUGCUUUUUUGUACCCAGAAUAUUUUCAAUAUAUUUGUUUAGCUAAUAUAACUGGAGAUGGGCUUUUUUUCUAGGACACUAACAAGUGCUGGUAAAGACCUACAUGAUAAUUUUCUGAAGGCUCUGGCAGCGAGAGAAGAAGACAAUCGCAGUGGAAAACCCCAUCUCUUAGUACACUUCUCCAAGACAUUUUAUACACUCACCUUGAAGAUUUUCCCACUGUGUACCUGAUUUCAUUCUGUCUCUAGAAGAUAGAGUCUUCCGUAUAGUCCUACGCUGGGAGGUAUCACAUCCAGUUGGUGACCAAACCUGGUCAAUUCUACCUUGUGUAUAUGUCUCAAAUAAAUGUGCGGGAGAUGGCAGGAAAGCCAAAGAGGUCUGAGGACUCCAUUGUGCUGUGCUCAGUAGUGUGGAUAAUGUCCUGAAGGUGAUGGGUAUCCCUGAAAGAAUUUAGUCACAAAUGGUCUGUGUGAUCAGAUGUGUACUUUAAGGGUACAGCAGGGGCAGUACAUAAGAUAAGUAUAUGUCUGUAGGGAUAGAAUGGGGAGGUCAUUGUAACAUUACAGAUAGAUCAUAAAAGACUGGAAUAAAGAAAUGACAAAAUGAAUAGUGAGAAAAAGAUGGAUUUGAGUAAUUCAGGAGAUAACUUUGUUUUGAUAAGGAAAUGGUGAGAGGGAGUUUUGAAUACUAUUCAUGCAUAUAUAAGCAGCUGAUGAUAAUUUUAUUAAUGGGAAGAGGAGUGUGAUCCUGGCUUUAGAGGUCUAAAGUUCCCAACUUACCACUUACCUAGUAUUAACAUUUGCAAAAGAACUUUUAAGAGUACCCUCAUCUUAAUACCGGGGCCUCCCAGGUGGCGCUAGUGGUAAACACCCCUCCUGUCAAUGCAGGAGACGUAAGGGACUCAGGCUCGAUCCCUGGGUUGGG